UAACACUUGGUAAUAUUUAUGGCUCAGAAAUUUCUAUUAAGUAUUCUGUUUAAGAAUAAUCUGCUUUCAACCCUUAAUAUUAAGUCUCCUCUUACCUAAAAGCUUUCCAGUGUCUAAAAGGUUUGCAAUAAUCCAUCACACUGAUUUACAUUGGAUAAUCUGAUUCUGUAUGAGAGUAGACUCUCAAAUGUGUAAUGGCUUUGUGUGUGUGUGUGUGUGUGUGAGAGAGAGAGAGAGAGAGAGAGAGACGGAGCUUCACUCUGUUGGCCAAGCUUGGAAUGUAGUGGUGCGAUCUCAGCUCACCGCAAUCUCUGCCUUCCAGAUUCAGGCGACUUUCCUGCCUUGGCCUCCCCAGUAGCUGGGAUUACAGGUAUGUGCCACCACACCUGGCUAAUAUUUGUAUUUUUAGUAGACAGGAGAUGUCACCAUGUUGUCCAGGCUGGUCUCAAAAUCUUGACCUCAAGUGAUCCACCCACCUCGGCCUUCCAAAGUUCUGGGGUUACAGGCAUGAGCCAUGGUGCCCUGCUGUAACGGCUUUAAACAAUGGAAGUUUAUUUUGGUGUUGUUGUUCAUUAUAAUUUGUUCUGUUCUUGAUUAAUAAAUGUUUCCCUUCCAUGUGGUGAUUCAGGAAUGCAGCUUUUUUCCAUCUUGUGGCUCUAACAUUCCUUAAGUCUUAGUUGUAAUUCGUGUCAAGACAACAAGAAGGAAAGAGAGUCUUGGACUAGAUAGAACACACAUCACUUCUGCUUGCUUUCCCUCAGUCAUAUGGCCCCUCUUUACUGCAAGAGCUACUGGGAAACAUAAUCUAGUAAUAUGAUCAUAAAGAAAAAAAAUAGCAAGGAUUUUGGUGAAUAGUAAACAACCUCUGCCACAUCUGUUAAAUCUAGCUUUUAGAGAUCUAUCAUCUAUUAAUCUCUCUCACUUAUCAGUUUCCUUUUGCUAUAGCCUCAAUAAGCUUCCGUCUUUCCCUUAAACAUUUUUAUGGCAUUGAAUUUGCUGCUUCAUCUUGCCUGGAAUUUUCUACCUCCAGAUUACUCAUUUCUGUAUCUUUCUGUUUCUGCAAAUUUCUGCUAAAAUGUCACUCCUGGAAGCCAUUUUCUCAAUUUCUCAUUCUAAAUUCAAACUCCCAGACAUCUCAUUUCAUAUCACUUUGUGUCACUGCCAUGAAAAACACCUGUCUGCAAUGACUUCUGAGGCUAACUCCUCAGGAUUAGGCUGCACUUCACAGGUUAAAGGCACAGUCCUCCAGAAGACUGCCAUCACUUUAGACACCAGCUUCAAGUUUGGGGCUUCUCAGGCUACCUGCAAUUUCAGACUAACUGGCAACUGAUUCAGGGCUUCCUACUGCUAUUCCAAGUUUGAAAAUCCGCUAGAACCAAUUACAGAAACUCAGAAGAGUGCUGUAUUUACAACUACAGUUUUAUUAUAGCAAAAAGGAUACAACUAAGAACCAGCCAAAAGAAGAAAUGCAAUGAAUGAGAUCUCAGAGGGUCCCAAAUUAAAAGGAGAAAACAAAACAAAACUACUGGUUUCCUCUCCCCAUGACCUCAAGAUGAGUCAUCCUUUCUGCACAUCAAUGUAUACUACAAACUAAAGAAGCUCACCCAGGUUUGGUGGAGUUUUAUUAUAUUUGUUGAGGAUUCAUUUAUAGUGUCUUUGGCCACAUAAGAGAAUUCAAUCUUUAGCCCUUCUUCACUUCCCCGAGGUCAGUAGAGAUCAUGUUUCUCAAAGUCCAACACUUUAAUCAUCUCAUUAGUCUUUUUGGCAUGGGCAGGCCCGUCUUGAGUCUUCUCACUGCUGCAAGUUAUCUAGGGGCCCAUAAACUAUUAGGACCCACCAGGAAUAGCUCAGGCCUUCCUAUUACCCAGGAAAUUUCAAGGAUUUAGCAGUUACCUCCCAGGAGAUGGGGAAAGGCCAGCCAAAUUCUUUAUUAUACAACACUUUCUCUAAAAUGAUCUUGUACACUUAUUUUUCAGCAUCUAAUCCUCCUAAAUAUAAGCUUCAUGGGACCAAAAUCCUUGUCUGUUUUGGCAGUGCAGAAGACUGAAUAGUAAACAGUAGGUGCUAGAUAAAUAUUUACAGAAUAAAUUAACUAAGAAUUACAAAUUCUGGCCUGGACAGUUCAAUUAGGAGUUGUUGGUAGACAGUUCAUUCUUGAUGUUCAUAAAACUGUGUGUGUGAGCUCUAAAAUAAUAGCUUAAUUGAAGUUAAUUACGGAAAAAAAAUACAGCAUUGCCCAUUGUUAUCUGCUUCUGAAUCCUAGCUCUAUUACAUAUGUACUGUGUGAGUUGCUGUGUGCUUCAUGUUCCAAUUUAAGCACAGUGAUACCUGUCUCUACUUCAUCAGGUUCUUGUGAGGAUUAAAUAAGAUGUCUGAAAACCUGUUUGGAAGGGAGCCUAUAUGAUAAAAUCUUUAGUAAUUAUUGUUUAUUAUUGAGGAUAUUGUGAUUAUGGUAUGGAAAUGUGGAAGGCCACUGAAAUGGGAGAGUUAUUGAAGUAAAUCAGCAUCAUUACUAACUUUACUAACUUUUUUUUCUUUUUUGAGAUGGAGUCUUGCUGUGUUGUCCAGGCUAUGGAGUGCAGUGGCACGAUCGUGGCUCACUGCAAUGUCCGCCUCCUGGGUUCAAGUAAUUAUCCUGUCUCAGCCUCCUGACUCAGCUAGGACUACAGGUGCCUGCCACCACACUUGGCUAAUUUUUGUAUUUUCAGUAGAGAAGGGGUUUCACCACAUUGGCCAGGCUAGUCUCGAACUCCUGACCUCAGCUGAUCCGCCUGCCUUGGCCUCCCAAAAUGCUGGGAUUGUAGGUGUUAGCCACCAUGCCUGGCCCAUCAUUACUAACUUUACAAAUUAAUACAUUCUGGCCAACAGCAUUCUCUGGUCUCACAAUAGUCACUCAUUAAUAAAUUAUUUAAUUUAAUUUGAAAUUCACUAUACUAGAUGUGUUGUGGGAAAUUCAGAUGGUCUAUACCUUAAUAUUACACAAAAUACUUAUAGGGGGAAAAGAUCUGUCUCAAAAAAAGUAUACCAGAAUGUCCUUGAAAUCAGGAAUUAUAUUGUUCAGGUACGCCUCUCUUCCUAGGGUCUCACAUGCUACCCAAUACUUAGAUCAGUUAGAUCUAACAAAAUGAAGUAAAUUUAGGAGAUUAGAUAAAUUUAAUAUAGAUGUAUGUUAGAUAUAAAAAUGUGUGUGUAUGUAUGUAUAAUACAUUUAUUAGGUUAUACACAUUUCUAAAAUUACCAUAAAAAUGGUUCCUAUAUCAAAAAAAAAAGAUUAGAAAAUCAGUGUUGGGCCUUUUCUUUUUAAACUUUCAACUGUUGACUAUGUCAAUAUUAAAGUACAAUUUAUAAAAAGCAUAGACAGAUUUUUUUAAGUAAAGUUUCAAAAAGACAUUUUUAAAUAUGUUAUUACUUUCAUAAUUUGACAAGGUUAAAAAAAUUGAAAACUAAAUUUUUAUUUUGUUUACAUAGUAUAUGAACUUGCCUGAUGAAGAUUUGCAUUUUUCAUAAAACUAAAACUGUUUCACCACAUUUAGGAAAACCAUAUUUUCUCCUUUCCAUAGCCAACAUUUUAUACUGAAUUUUAUUUUAAAGAAAAGAGGCCUCACAUUUUGGAUGCUAUAAGGAGGUUCUACAGACUUCUUAAUUUGUACUGGAGAAAAACAAUAUUAUUUUGAAGUAAGAUAUCUGAACUGAUUUAAUGAAGAAGAAGCAAACAAGCAAAAUGGAAAAAAAAACAGCUCCAUGCCACAAGCAUUGCAGUAUCAAACUGAAUAUGAAUUCUUUGCAUAUGCAUGUGCCCAUUAAAUGACUCAGAACUAAGAUAAUUGCCUGCUAAGGAAGAAGCUGCCUCAUCCUCCAUUUGUUUUACACAGAGAAUCACCUGCAGCAGAUUCGGAAUUGAAGCUGCUGUUGAAACUUGUGAAUCCAUGUCUCUAGAACCGCAGUGAAGACUAACGCAGUCGUCAUGAAAUAUUUUCAUUAGUGUUUUAUUAUUUCAGCCCUUGAGUGGGUUAUCUCCAUUACAUUUUUAUCUACACUAGUGGGAGACAGCUCUAGCGUUUUAUUUUCAUUAGUUUUCCUCUGCUCCCCUUAGGGAAGCUCAGCUGCAUUUGCACAGUUAAACUUACUUAAUUUUGCCCGUCUUUAUCUAAGGCACCUAGAGCAAGCACCGUUUCUUGGGUCAGGCAGCCUUCUAAUGGUUUUUGGUCCAGAUAUUUUCCAGUAGAAAACUAUUUUGUUGAAACCCCACAGUGAAAAAUUUGAAGCCAUGAGUUCUGGGACUGCCAAGAGAAUCAACUGUUCCAAUAUCUUGCCCCAUUUCAGAUUCCUGAUUGAAUAAUCUUUAUCAGGAGAUAGAAUCCCAUCAUAUGCUAUAUUAGCCAAGUCCUGGACUCAAGCUAUCAUUGUCUUCUUUAUAUCUCUUUAAUUCUCUUUAUAUCAUCUUUCCUAUGGCUCUCCUAGGAAUCCUAAUUUCACAUGAUUUUAAAGUACAUUUUCUCAAGACUUAAGCAUAACCUGGGUAAUUUUCAAUAUUAUGUCACCUUGAUUCUCAAAACAAGAGUUCCCUGCUUACAUUUUGCUCACUUUCAUGGUCUUCUUUUCUCCAAAAUGUCCAGAUUUUUAUUUCAUAUAGCUGUCCCAAUCUUUCAAAGAUUUCUUUCUCUGACUAUGGGUAGUAUUAAUGCAGCUAGAAUGUCAAUUCUAAGUUUUUUCAUUCUUUUUCUGCUUGUGUGUUUUUUCAUAUAGCUUUUCUAAAAUAUAGCUUUUUCCCCCAG
rnacentral:lncRNA from 10 species